UACGUAGGGUCCGAGCGUUGUCCGGAAUUACUGGGCGUAAAGAGCUCGUAGGUGGUUUGUCGCGUUGUUCGUGAAAACUCACAGCUCAACUGUGGGCGUGCGGGCGAUACGGGCAGACUGGAGUACUGCAGGGGAGACUGGAAUUCCUGGUGUAGCGGUGGAAUGCGCAGAUAUCAGGAGGAACACCGGUGGCGAAGGCGGGGUCUCUGGGCAGUAACUGACGCUGGAGGAGCGGAAAGCGUGGGGAGCGAACAGG
rnacentral:rRNA from 1 species